rnacentral:rRNA from 1 species
GAUGAACGCUGGCGGCGUGCCUAAUACAUGCAAGUCGAGCGAACAGACGAGGAGCUUGCUCCUUCGACGUUAGCGGCGGACGGGUGAGUAACACGUAGGUAACCUACCUAUAAGACUGGGAUAACUUCGGGAAACCGGAGCUAAUACCGGAUAAUAUUUCGAACCGCAUGGUUCGAUAGUGAAAGAUGGCUUUGCUAUCACUUAUAGAUGGACCUGCGCCGUAUUAGCUAGUUGGUAAGGUAACGGCUUACCAAGGCAACGAUACGUAGCCGACCUGAGAGGGUGAUCGGCCACACUGGAACUGAGACACGGUCCAGGCUCCUACGGGAGGCAGCAGUAGGGAAUCUUCCGCAAUGGGCGAAAGCCUGACGGAGCAACGCCGCGUGAGUGAUGAAGGUCUUCGGAUCGUAAAACUCUGUUAUUAGGGAAGAACAAACGUGUAAGUAACUGUGCACGUCUUGACGGUACCUAAUCAGAAAGCCGCGGCUAACUACGUG